rnacentral:rRNA from 1 species
UGCCAGCCGCCGCGGUAAUACGGAGGAUCCAAGCGUUAUCCGGAAUCAUUGGGUUUAAAGGGUCCGUAGGUGGAUAAUUAAGUCAGAGGCGAAAUCCUGCAGCUCAACUGUAGAAUUGCCUUUGAUACUGGUUGUCUUGAGUCAUUAUGAAGUAAUUAGAAUGUGUAGUGUAGCGGUGGAAUGCGUAGAUAUAUUGAGGAACACCAGUGGCGAAGGCGGCUAACUGGACCGGAACUGACGCUGAUGCACGAAAGCGUGGGUAGCAAACAGGAUUAGAUA